CCGAGGUCCGAGGAGGGGUCCGGAGGUCUGGCCGAGGUGAUAAUAGUUAAGCCUAGAGCCAUGAGAGGCCUGUGCUCCGUGGGACAGGAGGCUAAGAGCGGAACAGGGCCCACUGUUGGAUGCUACUGAUCACCAGACUGUGGCCUUUAUACACAUCAACUUGCUUCAUCUCCACCAGAACAAAUGAAUGACAAAACCCGAUGAAAGACAAAGCCAGAGUAAAUCCCUUCUCAUCUAUGUCACGGCAAAAGAUAUAGUAACAGCAAAAACAAGCUCUAAAAACCUUGUUUGUAAAAGGUUUGGUAAAACUGUUUCUUUAAAGAUAUUCCAUCAUUUGGACUUUAAUUUUGCUAGGCUCUCCCUACCCCACCAAAUUGUUAUUUCAUAUAAAAUAAUUGGACGAGGCCGGGCGCAGUGGCUCACGCCUGUAAUCCCAGCACUUUGGGAGGCUGAGGCAGGCGGAUCACCUGAGGUCAGGAGUUCGAGACCAGCCUGACCACCAUGGAGAAACCCCACCUCUACUAAAAAUACAAAAUUAGUCGGGCCUGGUGACACACUUGUAAUCCCAGCUACUCGGGAGGCUGAGGCAGGAGAAUUGCUUGAACCGGGGAGGUGGAGGUUUCGGAGAGCCGAGAUCGCUCCAUUGCCCUCCAGCCUGGGUAACAAGAGCGAAACUCCUUCUCAGAUAAAUAAAUAAUUGGACAAAAUUAUCUCACCUUUGUUCAAUUGGCUUUCUGUUCUACCUUAAAAAAUAGAAAUUAAUUAAUUAAUUGUGAUAAAAAUAGCUGCAUAUUAUUGAGCCUUUUUUGUAUUGGUCAAUAGCCUGAAAUGUCCAUAUGUGAUACAGCUGAAGCCUAAUAGGAAAACAAUUACUAACAUUUCGGAGUUGGAACAGACCUGCUGGUCGUGACUCCAGUAUUUGUACAUCAUGAUGAGGAAAUUGUGGCCAGAGAUAUUAGGACUUGUCCAAGUCUCCAAACUGAGACUCAAGGGCCAUAUUCCAUUUUCCUCGGCUCAUGGCUUUCCACUGAACUUCAAAAGAGGCUCCAGUACCAGUCCUAAGAAUCAUCAGUGGCCUUAGAAUAGUCUGGAGGAAUUACUUCAGACUGUUCCUCUGAACUGGGACACAGCAAAUGGAAUAAAAUACUGGCUCCUAGGACAAACAGAGAAAGUAGCUCUCAAUCACAGCCCUCUUUCAAAAACCUUUAGUUUAAAAACUAAAGAAAUAGAUACAUGAAGUAGCCAAAGAACCAUAAGCUUUUAAAAACUUAGAAGCCAUUUCUUUAUUUCAAAAAAUUUUUCAGACAGUUCUCAAGCAUAAUCACAUCUCAGAGGUUGUAGACAUUGCACCUGGUACCCAUCUCAACAUCAUUAAUCUCUUUACCGGAUAUAUACAUAUAUAUAUAUAUAUAUAUACACACACACACACACACAUAUACACACAUAUACAUAUACAUAUAUAUACACACACACACAUAUAUACAUAUACAUAUACAUAUACAUAUACAUAUAACAUUUUAGUGGAUGCGACUAACAGCACCAUGGCUACUCUGCCACACAAGGUUUAUUCUUUUUCAAGUAUGGAAGAGAAUAUCAAGUGACUGAUUACCAAGCUGUAGAAGCCAAUAUCCUUUUCAAAAAACAAGAUUGCUCUCUUGCCAUACUCAAAGGCUUGACUUUCAGAGAAUGGUGUAUCAUCCAUUGGUGGUUAAAAAUUGUGACAGAACCUUUCAGUCAGUCACAAAAAAAUUUCCAAAGGGAUGUCCCAUACAUUUUGCUACUGUUGCCCAGGCUGGAGUGCAGUGGCGCAAUCACAGCUCACUGAAGCCUUGGACCAUGUGGGCUCAGCUGAUCCUCCCUCUUCAGCCUCCCAUGUAGCUGGGACUACAGGCAGGUGCACGCCACUACGCCUGGCUAAUUUUUUGCAUUUUUUGUAGAGAUGGGGUUUCACCAUGUUGCUCAGGCUAGUCUCAAACUCUUGAGCUCAAGGGAUCUGCCUGUCUUGGCCCGAAGUCCUGGGAUUACAGAUGUCAGCCACUAAGCUUUGCCACAUUUUGCUACUCUUGCUCUGCAUUUUUAAGGCACUUCCCUCCAUUGUUAAUUCAUUUCCCUGUAUUCGAUCUUUGAAUGUUAAUUGUUAGAAGCUAUUGUUACUAAGAUAAAGAAGACAUGGACCUUCUCUUAAGAAGCUCUUAGUCUAUUGUGAUGAUUCUCCAAAUUUAGUGAGCAUGAAAAUCAUCUGAAGAGUGAUAUAAAACAGAUCUGCACUUUAUAAAAUAACCCCGGGUCAUUCUGAUACAGGUGGUUCCCAGGCUCCAUUUCUAAACCCACUGGUCUGGAGGGAGAGAAAGCAUUUCCUUUGAUCAUUGGAAUUCUAACCAUCCUUCAGGGCCAGUCCCAGUGGAACUUUCCAUGUUGACUUAGUCAUCACCCAUUUUCUUUCCUUCUCUAGCACUUAAUCUGUGUCUUUCUCAGAACACUGAACACCCCUUCCCCAGUUUCUAUCUUGUACUGUAGGUCCUUUCUAGAAUGCCCUGUCUAAGCUACUGGUCUUCUGGAUAGGUAAUCUAGACUGUGUCUGAUCCGACUUUGCAUUCUCUGCAGCAUGUGGCACAGUGCCCACAUAUACUUAUUAUAUAAGUCAUGCUUGUUGAAUGAAGGGAUCUGUCUCUAAAUGGAGAGUUGUAUUUUUAAAGUGGACCUGUGAUAUAUAAUAAUGUAUUGUGAUCCUAAAUGUCUCAAAAUGGAGUCACUUAUGACAAGUAACUCAACCCACAGUAAAAUUGCCAACCCCUCAAAGUGAUACGCAUACGUAUGGUGGAUCGUGAUGAUAAGAUAAUACCUGCUGUGGCCAGGCACUACCCCACCAAGACCCAGCAAGAAAGGGAAGCCAAAAGGUGGCUGAGCUAAUGACCAUGAACUCUCCUGGGGAGGGCCAUAAAACUGCAAAGAAACUAACCAUGGCAAAGAAGCUUGAAGAAGCUCUGUCUGUGAGAACUCUGAAGCCUCCUUUAGUCUGGCAGUGGAAGCUCUGCUGGGUCCUCCCAGUAGAGGAUUCACGUGGUUUCUUCCUCCUCUUUCUUAUUAUGACCUAUGUGUGUUACAUGUAUUUGCAUAGUUAUUGGUGUAUGAAAGCCUUGCAAUAAACCUUUGAAAGCAUUUAAUUAGCCAUUAUUGAGUCAUUGUGAAACCUCCCACAGUGUUAAAGUAAGCACAGCUAGGCUGACUGGAACCUGAC
rnacentral:lncRNA from 10 species